CCUACGGGAGGCAGCAGCUAGGAAUCUUGUGCAAUGGGGGAAACCCUGACACAGCUACGCCGCGUGGGUGAGGAAGGCCUUCGGGUUGUAAAGCCCUUUUAGUUGGGAAGAAUAAAAUGACGGUACCAACAGAAGAAGCACCGGCUAACUCCGUGCCAGCAGCCGCGGUAAUACGGAGGGUGCAAGCGUUAUUCGGAUUUAUUGGGCGUAAAGCGCACGUAGGCGGUUUAGUAAGUCUGAUGUGAAAUCCCGUGACUCAAUCACGGAAGUGCAUUGGAUACUGCUAGACUAGAGUACUGGAGGGGAGAACGGAAUUCCUGGUGUAGAGGUGAAAUUCGUAGAUAUCAGGAGGAACAACGGUGGCGAAGGCGGUUCUCUGGACAGUAACUGACGCUCAGGUGCGAAAGCGUGGGUAGCAAACAGGAUUAGAUACCCGGGUA
rnacentral:rRNA from 1 species